GUUUCAGCCCCCAUCAGCCAAAUGCUCUUGAGCAGGCCUCAUCUGGAAAAUAAUGACUGUGUCUCAAAGGAUGACGAAGGGGAAUAAAUGAGCAAUGUGUUUCAAUGAGACAGUAUCGGGCCGGUGCAGAGGAUCCAGCAUGUUAUUCUGAAACCCCAGAAGACGCUGCAGCUACCAAAUAGAAGGAGCCUGGAUCCCUGAAUGUCUUCAUGGAACAGAACAUUCUCCUCACUCCAGUCUGUUUGAACCAGAAUAUGACCUGAGCAAGAAAUAAG
rnacentral:lncRNA from 1 species